rnacentral:tRNA from 1 species
AACUAAUGAACUUGUUUAAGUAUAUACCUUGAAAGUAUAAAAAAGAGAUACCAAUUCUCUAUUAGUUU